rnacentral:misc_RNA from 1 species
AAGACUAUAGACCUGCGGAGUACCUGCGGAAGGAUCAUUAGUGAACGCCCUCGCGGGCUUAUAACUAUUCCAAACCUCUGUGAACCGUGCCCUUCGGGGCUAUUUUACAAACAUGGUGUAAUGAACGUCAUAUAUCAUAACAAAACAAAACUUUUAGCAACGGAUCUCU